rnacentral:rRNA from 1 species
CUACGGGAUGCAGCAGUGAGGAAUAUUGCACAAUGGGGGGAACCCUGAUGCAGCAACGCCGCGUGGAGGAUGACGCAUUUCGGUGUGUAAACUCCUUUUAUAUGUCAAGAAAAUGACGGUAGCAUAUGAAUAAGCACCGGCUAACUCCGUGCCAGCAGCCGCGGUAAUACGGAGGGUGCAAGCGUUACUCGGAAUCACUGGGCGUAAAGGACGCGUAGGCGGGUUGGAAAGUCAGGUGUGAAAUCCUACAGCUUAACUGUAGAACUGCACUUGAAACUUCUAAUCUAGAGUAUGGGAGGGGGAGAUGGAAUUAGUGGUGUAGGGGUAAAAUCCGUAGAUAUCACUAGGAAUACCUAAAGCGAAAGCGAUCUCCUGGAACAUUACUGACGCUAAGGCGCGAAAGCGUGGGGAGCAAACAGGAUUAGAUACCCCGGUAGUC